rnacentral:rRNA from 1 species
GGGGGGGACGCAGGAGGGUAGUCCAGCCUGUUAUUGGAUUCAGGUUCCAAGCCUUUAGGUGUUGAGGCUGGGGUUAAAAGACCAGCUGAGCUGAGAGGUUAUGGCGGAGCGCCUAGCGCCACAAGUGGAUAAGCCCAUGCUGCCUAGAAAAGCCCCUAGCGAGGCUCACGUGCCCGUACCGCAAACCGACACCGGUAGACAGGUAGAACAUACCAAGGGGAUCGGGGAAACCCUCGUUAAGGAACUAGGCAAAAUAGAUCCGUAACUUCGGGAGAAGGAUCGCCGCGGUAGGGUGAGACAACACGCUUGUUCGAGCCCGAAGCGGCCGCAGUGAAAUGGCUCUGCCGACUGUUUAUCAAAAUCACAGGUCUCUGCGAAACCGUAAGGUGACGUAUAGGGGCUGACGCCUGCCCAGUGCCGGAAGGUUAAGGAGAGAGGUUAGGCGCAAGCCGAAGCUUUGAACCGAAGCCCCGGUGAACGGCGGCCGUAACUAUAACGGUCCUAAGGUAGCGAAAUUCCUUGUCGGGUAAGUUCCGACCCGCACGAAUGGCGUAACGAGUGGAGCACUGUCUCAACGAGGGACCCGGUGAAAUUGAAGUAAGCGUGAAGAUGCGUUUUACCCGCAGUAGGACAAAAAGACCCCGUGGAGCUUUACUGUAGCUUGGCAUUGCGUUAGGGCUUAGUCUGUAGAGGAUAGCUGGGAGACUUUGAGGCUGGGGCGCUAGCCUCGGUGGAGUCGCCGGUGGAAUACCAGCCUGAUUGAGUCUUGGCCCUAACCUGCAACCGUUAUCCGGUGUGGGGAAAGUGCCAGGUGGGCAGUUUGACUGGGGCGGUCGCCUCCUAAAAUGUAACGGAGGCGCGCAAAGGUACCCUCAGGCUGAAUGGAAACCAGCCGAAGAGUGUAAAAGCAUAAGGGUGCUUGACUGCGAGACCUACAAGUCGAGCAGAGUCGAAAGACGGCUUUAGUGAUCCUACGGUCCCGUGUGGAAGGGCCGUGGCUUAACGGAUAAAAGCUACCCCGGGGAUAACAGGCUGAUCUCCCCCAAGAGUUCACAUCGACGGGGAGGUUUGGCACCUCGAUGUCGGCUCGUCGCAUCCUGGGGCUGAAUUAGGUCCCAAGGGUUGGGCUGUUCGCCCAUUAAAGCGGUACGCGAGCUGGGUUCAGACCGUCGUGAGACAGGUCGGUCUCUAUCCACUGUGGGCGUAGGGGAUUUGAGAGGAGCUGCCCCUAGUACGAGAGGACCGGGGUGGACCGACCUCUGGUGUGCCAGUUGUCGCGCCAGCGGCAUCGCUGGGUAGCUAAGUCGGGCAAGGAUAACCGCUGAAAGCAUCUAAGUGGGAAACCUGCCUCAAGAUUAGAUUCCCCACCAGGUUAACUGGGUAAGUGCGCCGGGAGACUACCGGCUUGAUAGGCGGCACGUGUAAGCGCAGUAAUGUGCUCAGCGAAGCCGUAC